GCCUGGAUAGCUCAGUUGGUUAGAGUGUGGUGCUAAGAACACCAAAUUUGCAAGUUCGAUCCCGUAUGGGACU